GUCCUCUCAGGGUUGCACCUGGAGAGUUUCCAGUCCUCUACCAGUCUCUGCUAUGAGAGGGAGAGUCAGGCAGAGGCCUGCCCAUUCCAUUCCUAGCUUGGGCAGUGGCUAGUGAGUGAAAGGCCGUCUGCUACAAGU